AGCUUUCUCUGCCCCGCUUCUCUACAGACCCACCACUCGUCCUCUCCAACUUUCGUCUUCCUCGAGCUGAGACGCCGAGGUACCGCCACCGCUCCGCAGCACAAUAUCCUGCCCGCCGCCGCGUCGCACCGCCGUCUCCUGCCCGCCGCCAUUUCGUGCACCAUGGAAGGAUUGGGUUGAGGCAGCUCCGUCCAGCCGAUCUGGAUUGCCGCUGACUGCUUCAUUCGCCCGUCGUUCCUCAGAUUGGUUCCAGCCGUGUAUUUCUCUGUCCGACCGACGUGUGUGCCUUCCACGCUCUCGCUCUUUCUGCCGAGAUGGGUUUCGAUUCACUGUGUGAUCUUUCUCCAGCUAGUAAGCACUGGUCCAUCAACAUGCGAGUUGCUCGCAUGUGGGACUACUGUGGACCCGUGAUGGUCAGCCGCUGAUUCACGUUGAUCUUGUGCUGGUAGACGAUAAGGGUACCGCUAUGUAUGCAUAAAUACCUGGUACUAAGGCCAAGAAGUUCAAAGAGCCUAUUCAAGAGAAUGGAGUGUACUCUUUGAAAAAGUUCUUUGUGGCUCCAAGCAAAUCCUCAUACAAGUUGUUUCCUGCCAAGUAUAUGAUCAAGUUCAUACCUUGGACAACUGUCACCUACUGAAGCUGUGCCUAAGUCAUUCCCUACGCAUGUUUACAAUCUGGUUCCAUUUUGUGACCUUCCCUCUCGUGUUGGAGCCCAGGACUAUUUCACUGAUGUCUUGGGACAGAUUGUGGGUGUUUCUAGGCUGGGACAUGUUUGUAUGUCAACUAACUCUUCUGACACUGCUAAGAGGGUUAUUGCUCUGAGAGAUGAUAGGAACACAUAGGUCAAGCUUGUGCUUUGGGGGCACAGGGCUGUUGAAUUUGACGCAGAGCUUCUGUUUGACAAUGGCCAGAACACGGCAGUUGUUGGAGUAUUUGUUGGCCUUCUUAUGAAAUCUUACAAUAAUGAUGAGACGCUGAGUGGAGGAUCUGCAUGUAGAUGGUACCUGAACGAAGAUAUUCCAGAGAUUGAGUCUUGCUUCGACAGGUCGGUUGAUGGCUGGGUGAUGACUUCGCUAAGGUUCAGUGGAUCUCUACCGGCACCGAAAAAUUUGCGGUGUCACGUAAUAGAGCUGAUCUACCCCACAAGACAGUUGCUGAGCUCAGAGAACUGGAUCCAUGGGAAACAGAGGUAUAUCCACCCUUCCACUGAUGUGAUCAUAUCUGCUACAGACUUCCUCUGCACUGUGUCAAUUACAAGUGUGGCGCCUGAACAGCCGUGGUGGUUCCAGUCAUGCUCCAAGUGCCACAGAUUGGCUACGUCUUAUGGAUCGGAGUACAGAUGCAGUGGAGGCUGUGUUUCAACAAAAGCUUAUCCCAAGUACCGACUCUGCCUUGUUGGGACCGAUAGCACUGGUAGUGCUGAGUUCGUCUUCUUUAACCGUGUUGCUCAGCAGCUGGUUGGUAAAACUGUGAUAUCGCUUUUAAGAUCGUCAGGGCUGCCGCGUGAGAUUGCUGCUGUUGUUUGUCAGAAAUACACUCUUGCUGUAUCGGUGACCCAGAAAAGCCUAUCACAGAGGAACAUAUCGUUCCAGGUCAAUGCAAUCGAAACCUUCUUUGGAAGGCAUAACUCUGUGCCACAUGACACUUGUGUUUCUACUAUACUACCCCUGACUAUGACAGCAGCCUCUUCGCUUGAUGACAGCGGAACCUCUUCGCUUGAUCAGGUUCUUGAUGGCCUCGCUAUGCCUGUUGAAGAUAUCCCAAAGAGGGCGGGUCCGAUUCGCAUGCCGCUUCGCAGCUUAAAGAGAAAGGAGCCUGAGGGAGCAAAAACCUCCAAGAAUCUUACUGAGGAUGCUGUACUUACCGGUCAGAACAUUGAUCCUGAUAGCAUCCCUAGGAAUGCCUCUGCCACGCCUCCUGUCAAGCUUGCAAGUGAAGUUAUUGCUGCUGGGAACGAGGUUCAUCUGCAUGGCAAGUGGCGGACGACCCCUUUGGGCAGGAAAGAGAAGGGAAAAGAUGUGCGUUGGGCGCUGGCUACUAGGCUUCUCCACUGGGACAACUGGGUUGGGCCGGUCUACAGCUUCCUGCAGUGCGGCUCAACCGACCGAGAAGCCACGGCCCCAUGAAAGAAACCCAUGACUGCCCAGCCAUGAUAAUCAAAACAAGACGGCGCGGCGGCGCAGGAACCCUGGCGGCUAGCGGAGCGCAGGAGCACUGCGCCGGCAGGUAGAUCGGCACUAGCAGCAAGGGGCGCGGCGACUCCGACAAAGGGCGGUGGCGGCCGGGGAGAAAUCUUCACCGGUGUCCAGGUCCCAGCUCGCCCAGGCUUUCCCUUAUAGGGUUAUACCUCAUUCUCGUUUUCUACAUAGGAUUGAAUACUCAUCCUUGUUGAAAAUUUUGCAUCAUUUUUUCUUAUGCUUUAGAUAUAUUUUUUUAUUUUGCAAAAUUCUUAAUACUCUAGAUUUCGCCCGACCUUAAAUUUUUUUCGUCCUCCGUCACUGUAUAUGCCUACAUUUCUUCUGCCUACAGUACAUAGUUGAUUCUAUCUUCAGGAGGUUUGUGAUGUUAAUGUUGUUACUACCUUUCCAUUUUUUGCACAACCUUGCCCUUUUUUACACACAUGUGCUGCUUUCCUCUGCCGCCUCGCUCUUGAUGAGGUUAUUAGGUUCUUUGCGUACUGAUGUGAACUUCAGUUAUGGAGUGAUAGGAUUGUCUGCUUUGCUUCGUGGAAUUGUAGCGCAUCUGAUCAUGAACAGUUUGGUGUUUAUAGAUACUGCUGUGAUACAUGAUGUGGGACAUUUUUUCGUUAUGUUCCGGCAAUGAAACGAGAUCCCGCUAAUAAAUGUAUCUCCGUUAUGCUCAGCUACAGCGACUAGAUUUGUCGAAACUUUAUGGCCUAACAUGCUUCAUGUCUUUCCAGAGUCCUGAGGUAGAAGUUGAAGAUGAAGCUGACAGUGGUGCUAAGAAGAGAUAGUUCCUCCUUUUAGUAUUAUCUUUCUUUGCAUUAGAUGUCUGUGCGUUCCUAUCUUAACUGACCGUGUGCUCGUCAAUGUUUCACAGGAAAGUGCCACCUGAAGCCACUGAUCCCACCUCUACGGUCACUCGUCUACUCAAGAAGACUGGUUUGAAGAAGGGAAAGUAGUGCAUGCUCUCAGUCCUUGCCAAGGUUUGAUGUUGAUGUCGCUGCCCACUCACCCUGCCGUCACUAAUGUCCUUUUGUAAAUUAUGCCCCUCUAUGGACCUGCUGGUGAUAUGUAAUAUAUGCUCAGGACACCGCUUUUAGUAUUGUAUUAGUUUGCUGAACCUCCUAUGCUAUUAAACUAGGGAAGACCAACGGAGCUUUAUGGUACUGUAUGUAUGUAUGUGGGUUAGUGCCCAGAAAUGAUACCUCUACUAUAUUGUGUUUAGUUUAAGCUCUAUACUACACUGUACCCGUUUAUUGUAUAUAUGUGUGUUAAUCC